rnacentral:rRNA from 1 species
UACGGGGGGGGCAAGCGUUGUUCGGAAUUACUGGGCGUAAAGGGCGCGUAGGCGGGUGGACAAGUCUCUCGUGAAAGCCCACGGCUCAACCGUGGAAUUGCGGGAGAUACUGUCUGUCUUGAGUCCGGUAGAGGAGGGUGGAAUUCCCAGUGUAGCGGUGAAAUGCGUAGAUAUUUGGAGGAACAACGGUGGCGAAGGCGGCUCUCUGGACCGGUAAUGACGCUGAGGCGCGAAAGCUAGGGGAGCAAACGGG